rnacentral:tRNA from 1 species
AGGGGUUUUAGGGGAGUCUUCCCCUAACCAGGGCUCUGGCCCCUGGGACCCCGGUUCGAAUCCGGGCCCGGCUA